AGAGUUAUAUACAAAGUGUGUCUCCACUUGCAAAUAAUGAUAUAUCAAAUAAUCACAUUUACAAAUGACUAGAUGGAAAAAUGUUUAUCAGAGCUUCCUAUUGGCUGGCUGGUUCUACGUGCUGUGUACGCCCCUGUUGCGUUCGUCAGUUCAUUUGUAAAAAGGCCAGUGGUAAGUUGUGUGUUUGGUAGCUCUGAAAUUCUGUCUGUUACUGUCUACAAAAUGUGUGAGACAUCAUGAGCAACAGCAUGUAUUCGAUAUCAAGACAAGUGCUAGACAUUGGGGAAGAGUGUAAAAGAUGUUUGUUUUAUUUUAGCGUGCCAGCACGAGGAGUGUCGAAUAUGCUGGAACUGAUCAACUCACUCUGUGUUAUCCUGUUUUCUCAGUGAAUAAAAAAACAAAGGCUGGGA